ensembl:rRNA 5S_rRNA 5S ribosomal RNA
GUCUAUGGUCAUACCACCCAGAAUGUGCCCAAUCUUGUCUGAUCUUGGGAGCUAAGCAGGGUUGGGCAUGGUUAGUACCUGGAUGGGAGAAAAUGAUUUAAAUCUAAAGUUGCCUUAAAUA